rnacentral:rRNA from 1 species
UACGGGAGGGGCAAGCGUUGUUCGGAAUUACUGGGCGUAAAGGGCUCGUAGGUGGCCAACUAAGUCAGACGUGAAAUCCCUCGGCUUAACCGGGGAACUGCGUCUGAUACUGGAUGGCUUGAGAUUGGGAGAGGGAUGCGGAAUUCCAGGUGUAGCGGUGAAAUGCGUAGAUAUCUGGAGGAAUACCGGUGGCGAAGGCGGCAUCCUGGACCGACAUUGACGCUGAUGAGCGAAAGCUAGGGGAGCAAACAGG